AAGCUUGUAGAAUCACAGAAAAAUAGCAAGAUCAAAUUUAGACAAAGAUUUUGAGAGCAAAACAGAGAAAAACGUUUAUCUCUUCAUAUUCCCAUAUCUCUCUCUCAAUAACCAUUUUUCUCUCUUUUAUCCAGAGAGUAUCACAUGCACUCAAGCACCUACAGCUCUCUACAGCCACCCUAGGACUCUACAAAUACAUUGGAACUCAAAAACAAACAACGACAAAGUAAAACACACUCAAACAACUUGAUGGGCCUUCAUACAAACAAAAGCCCAACGAACAAAACACCCAGCCCACAAAUAAGCUUCUUCUCCUUCUUCGACACACCAACGAUGGUUUGUAAACACAUAACACAUCACUUAACACUCCCUCUUGCUGUUUUGUGUUUCAAACCAAGUUUUUCUCUGCGAAAUUCAAACAACUGACCUCUCAAGGGUUUUGUGAAUAUGUCAGCCACUUGAUCUUCACCUCUACAAUAUUGCAAUCUGAUGUCUCCACAUCUUUCAGCCUCUCGAACAAUGUGGUACUUGAUUUUUAUAUGUUUUGUUCUUCUAUGUUGAACUGGAUUCUUCCCGAUAGCAAUUGCAGACUGGCUGUCACUGUAGAUUGGAGUUCCUUCUUGAGAGCUGAAUUUCAAAUCUUCUAAGAGGCGUUUCAACCACAUCACUUGAUUGGUAGUAGCGCACAAUGCCAUAUAUUCUGCCUCUGCAGUCGAUUGAGCAAUCGUGUCUUGCUUACAGGAUUGCCAAGAGAACACAGCUGAUCCAAUGUUGAAACAGUACCCAGUUGUGGAUUUUAAGUCCUCGACGCAUCCUCCGUAAUUGCUGUCAGAGUAUCCAAUUAACCUUGGUUCCUCAACGGUAGAGUAAUACAUUCCCAUAUCAACAGUCCCUCUGAUGUAUCUAAGAACUCUCUUUGCUUCAUUAAGGUGCUUGACUCUAGGUUCCUUAAGAUACCUUGAAAGAUAAGAUGCAGCAAAUGUCAGAUCGGGACGAGUUGCAGUCAAGUACAGUAGGCCUCCAACAAGACUUCGAUAAACUAUGCAGUCUGUAAGUUCUCCUUUUUCUUCUUCGUGUUUGCUUUGAGGUAUGAGAGGAGUGUUCACAGCUCUGCAGUUUUCCAUGUUGAACUUCUUUAACAAUUUCUUUGCAUAACACUCUUGUGACAGAAAGAAUCCUUCCGAUUCUUGGAUAAUCUCCAUACCCAAGAAAUAGUUCAACAGUCCAAGGUCAGACAUUUCAAACUCAUUCUUCAUCACCAUCUUGAAUUCUUCAAUCAUAUUCAAGUCGUCACCUGUCACAAUAAGAUCAUCAACAUAUAUGCAUACCACUAGUAAUUUUCCUUCGAUUUCUUUUGUGAAUAGAGCAUGAUCAUUAUCACUCCUUUUGAAGUUUUCCCGGUUGAAGAAUUCUUCAAUGCGGCUAUACCACGCCCUCGGAGCCUGUUUUAGACCAUAAAGAGCCUUAUGCAAACGGAACACACAAUCUUCCUUUCCUUCUUCUUCAAAACCAGGUGGUUGUUCUGCAUAUAUUUCUUCUUCUAAUGUUCCAUUCAAGAAAGCAGAUUUAACGUCUAGUUGAAACAGUUUCCAUUUCCUUUGAGCCGCAACAGCAAGAAUUAACCUGAUAGUUUCAUGUCUUGACACAUGAGCAAAGGUUUCAUGAUAGUCAACCCCAUAUUGCUUUGUGUCUCACCACAUUUCCUUGAGCAUCAGUUUUUAAUCUGAAUAUCCACUUGACUCCUACCACAUUCUUGUCAGAAGGUCUUUCGAGAAGCUCCCAUGUUUGAUUUUUCUCAAUGGUUUGAAUCUCAUCUACCAUUGCAAGUCUCCAUUCCUUGUGUUUUGCGGCUUCCUCAAAUACAGCAGGUUCCUCUUCGAUGCCAACAUAGCAGCUUUCACAAGAUCCAGAAUAUUCAACAUUAGCAUAAGGGGCAUUCAAGAGGAUAUCUUCAAUAGUUCUGGUUUUCUUGUUUUGCAGGUUUGAGUCACUUUCUGGGCUGUCGAGGUUUAAGCUCAAUGGACUCGGAAGAGUACGUCUUUUCCCUAUAUCUUCAUUGUCCUUUAAUGAUGUCUCUCCAGUUGUUGGGUUUUCUUCUUCAUCCUUUGACUCGCUUGAUAGGUCAUAGGUUUUUGUAACUUCCUUCUUAUCCCAAUUCCACUUGCUUCCCUCAUCAAAUAUGACGUCUCUUGAGAUGUCAAUCUUGUUUUCUUCCAGCAGGUACAGUCUAUAUCCUUUUGUUUGAGAGCUGUAUCCUACAAAUAUACCUCUCUUUGACUUGUCAUCCCAUUUCUUCCUUUUUUCGUCUGGAAUGUGGACAUAACAUAUACUCCCAAACACUCUCAUGUGUUCCAACGAUGGUUUAGUUCCAUCCCAUGCUUCAAUAGGGGUAAUACUUUCUAAGGCUCUUGUUGGGGUUCGAUUCUGGACGUACGUAGCAACGUGAACUGCAUCAGCCCAAAAUUUUAGAGGUAAUCCCUGGCUUUGAUCAUAGCUCUUGCCAUUUCAACUAAGCUUCUGUUUCUUCUUUCUGAAACUCCAUUUUGUUGUGGAGAAUAUUCAGCAGUGAGUUGUCUUUCUAUUCCAUUUUCUUCAAGAAAUUCUGUGAACUCUUUUGAAAGAUACUCAGAUCCUCUGUCGGUUCGAAGCUUCUUGAUUUUGCAGUUUGAGUUAUUUUCAACAAGACUCUUAAACUUUCUAAAUGUUUGAAAGACCUCAGACUUGGCUCU
rnacentral:lncRNA from 1 species